CAACAGGGAUUGCCUCAGUAACGGUGAGUGAAGCGGCAAGAGCUCAAAUUUGAAAUCUGGCGUCGAGAGGCGUCCGACUUGUAAUUUGGAGAGGCAUCUUCUGGUGGGGCCGAGCCCAUGUUCCUUGGAACAGGACGUCAUAGAGGGUGAGAAUCCCGUUCGUGGCUGGGUGCACCCACCUGCAUGUAGUGUCUUCUACGAGUCGAGUUGUUUGGGAAUGCAGCUCAAAAGGGGUGGUAAAUUUCAUCUAAAGCUAAAUAUUGGCGAGAGACCGAUAGCGCACAAGUAGAGUGAUCGAAAGAUGAAAAGCACUUUGAAAAUAGAGUCAAACAGUACGUGAAAUUGUUGAAGGGGAAGCGCUUGAGACCAGACUCGGCCUAGGGCACACAUCCUUCCUUCUGGUUGGUGCACUUGCCCCUGGCUGGGCCAGCAUCAGUUGGGAUGGCGGGAUAAAGGUCCGGAGAAUGUGGCUCCCCCUCGGGGAGUUUUAUAACCCAGGAUCCCAUUCCGCCCGUCCCGACUGAGGGCCGCGCNUCGGCCAGGAUACUGGCGUAAU
rnacentral:rRNA from 1 species